UAGAGAGAGAGAGAGAGAGAGAGAGAGAGAGAGAGAGAGAGAGAGAGAGAGAGAGAGAGAGAGAGAGAGAGAGAGACUCAUUCACCGCGUCUCUCCCCUCUGAUCGUGAAUACGAGUUUCUAGUUGUUACGUUAAUCUCACCCCACCCUGGAACGCUUAUUUUGUUGCGUCUACAGACUAGACCCCUCGGUCAUCCGUCGACGGACGGAGGUAGUGUGAAUGCGCCCUGGCCUGAAUACGCGCGGACCAUGGACCUCUAAAGACCGUUUGGAAUGCGCCCGGACCGUUUUGAGUACACCAUCCGGGUCCUUUCAGUGCACUGCUUUCCCCCCGAUCGUAAUUGGAACGCCCUAAUCAAACUAAGUAUACUCCUUUAUAGUCAACCCCCACCACACGUUAUCGUCGUCAUUUUGAAUACCCAAAGGCACUUUUAAGAGCCACGUCCAUCUGUCUGCCUUUCUGUCUGGCUGUCUGUCUAUCUAUCUGCCUGUUUGGCUGUCUAACUGUCUGUCUGUCUGUCUGUCUGUCUGUCUGUCUGUCUGUCUGUCUGUCUG
ensembl:lncRNA